GAUGAACGCUAGCGACAGGCUUAACACAUGCAAGUCGAGGGGUAACAGGGUAGCAAUACCGCUGACGACCGGCGCACGGGUGAGUAACGCGUAUGCAACCUGCCUAUAACUGGGGAAUAGCUCCCUGAAAGGGGAAUUAACACCGCAUAACACUAUUGAUUCGCAUGGAUUGGUAGUUAAAUGUAGCGAUACAGGUUAUAGAUGGGCAUGCGUGACAUUAGCUAGUUGGUGAGGUAACGGCUCACCAAGGCUACGAUGUCUAGGGGUUCUGAGAGGAAGGUCCCCCACACUGGUACUGAGACACGGACCAGACUCCUACGGGAGGCAGCAGUGAGGAAUAUUGGUCAAUGGGCGCAAGCCUGAACCAGCCAUGUCGCGUGCAGGAAGACUGCCCUAUGGGUUGUAAACUUCUUUUGUAUAGGGAUAAACCUACCCUCGUGAGGGUAGCUGAAGGUACUAUACGAAUAAGCACCGGCUAACUCCGUGCCAGCA
rnacentral:rRNA from 1 species